rnacentral:lncRNA from 1 species
GUUUCUUUUUGUUUGCUUGUUUCUUUUCAGUUUGUGUGGGAAGCUAAUUUGCAUUCAAAGUUCCAGUUCAAGAUCAUUUGAAAGGCAGGUUUUCCUCUUAUACAGAAUUAAAUAUGCAAUGGACCUUUUCUUAACAAACAGGCUGAGAGUCUGUAAUAUACAGAUCUCCAGAUUUCAUUUAGGAGGCAGUUGCAUAUAAAAGAGAAAAAAAUGAAAUUUGAACCAUUCUUUCUAUGUAACUAUAUAGAAUAUAUAUAUAUAUGUGGUUUUUUUUUUCAGGAAAAAAAAAAAAGCAGAGGAACUGGAGGUAAAUGUGGAGACCUCUUCUACUUCAUUUCUGGUAAACAUAUUAAUGUUGAGCUAAACAUCAUGACAAAUUGCAUCUAACAUAUAUAAAGAACACCCCAUAUAAUUGAUAUGGAUGUGACAUGGAGUUUCAGACCAAUGAAGAAAGACCAAGCAUAUCAGAAGAGACUGAGUUUGAAGGAGCCAGCGCACCCCCCAUGAGGAAGGGGACGAAUUGCAGCCCAGAUUAUUAUGGGUGCAGGGCUGUCUAUAGAGCACCACUGAAGACUCAGCAACCUUCUGCUCAGGCGUGGAUGUCCUCUCUGGCUUGAGUACAAAAUUAUAUCACUGACCUGUGCCUCAAGAGAAGUUCAGAGGAAAUAUUUCUGCUCUGCUUUUCUACCUUCCUCCCCAUUUCUCUGUCCCUUCCCAUUAAUUGUCCCUUUCCAUUCCCUCCUUAUCAUGCUUUUAUCAAUAAUUAAAAUAUUUAUAGUGAAGCACAAACACUGAAGUAAAGUCAACAGGCAUCUUUAAACCAAUAGCACUACUCUCCCUUGAGUCACCUUGGUUCAGGCACCUGUUACCAUAUGUAAAGAUACUUUACAAGCACAAAGAGAGUGCAGAAGUUAUUGGGUAACACAAACAACAGGUGGCCAGGACCGACACAGUGCCAUACUAAGCACUAACAUGUUCCUCAGGCCUUACAAAAGACUUCUGCAAGUAGCUGUCAGUCAGAAUGAAUGAGCCUCCCCUGCAGCCCUGAGCAGGCUGAGACUUGGUCUUGUUGAAUUACCCUCAUUUGGUUCCCUUUUGGGAUUUUUUUUAACCUUUUUUACCUUUUUUUGUUUGUUUGUUUGUUAGACUUAUUCUUGACAAGGUUUUUAUACAGAAUCCUUGAGUUGGUAACAGAGCCAGCAGCUGCCUGACUUCCUAAUCAUUGAGUGGCUCUAGCUCCAGCACUUUCUAACACUUUACCUGUUUUCUUAGGCUGAUCUCAGGUCCCACAACAGUAUUGUUUUAACAACAAGUUUAGUCAGAACAGCUGCUUUCCUGGGCCCAGAGUUACAUACAUACCAUGAUUUGGCCCCUUUCUUACAUUACAUGACCUACUUCCAAACAUUUGGAAGGCAAACUAAGUGUUAGGAUUGAUCCUCUCCUAUAGGACAUUCAAACUGCUUUUGUACCUGCUGGAGAGAGGAGACACCCCUGGGAGGAGGAGUAGGUGGUCAGGACAGUACAUAGCUGUCUCAGUAGUUUUCAAGCGUCAUGGAUAGCACAUAUUCUGCCAUCUUUGGACUGUAUUAUGGCUUUUUUUUUUGGGGGGGCAUCUAC